UACGGAGGGUGCAAACGUUGCUCGGAAUCAUUGGGCGUAAAGCGCACGUAGGCGGGUCGUUAAGUCAGGGGUGAAAUCCCGGAGCUCAACUCCGGAACUGCCUUUGAUACUGGCGACCUUGAGGCCGGAAGAGGUUAGUGGAAUUCCCAGUGUAGAGGUGAAAUUCGUAGAUAUUGGGAAGAACACCAGUGGCGAAGGCGGCUAACUGGUCCGGAUCUGACGCUGAGGUGCGAAAGCGUGGGGAGCAAACAGG
rnacentral:rRNA from 1 species